UUGUUUCUGCUUUAAAUGAGAAUUAAAUAAAAAAGCGUUCGACAGUAGAAAAGUUGCACUCCAAGUAGAAAGAUGUUUAAGACGUUGGGAAUAUUUUUAUUGCUGCUUAUUGCACAAAUCAACGCCACAUGUUUUAUUGAUGCAGCGUAUGAUCAAUCAACUAAUCGGAUUUUUGCAACAGUCUCUAGGAAUCGAAUUGAAUUACUGCGCAAAAAUGUAGUGCCAAAUGGAACCAAACUGAGAGUCUUGUGCAGUGCAACAAAUUAUGUUGAUAGCACUUGCCGAAAUGACCAAUUUAAUCCUGCACUGCCAACAACCAAUUGCAGUCCAAAACCAGAUCCAAAGCAUGAGGCUGUGCAAGAUGCUAGCUGUCCGGCCCCUGCAAUCAUGUAUCGAAUGGGCUAUAGAUUGGGUCCGAAUCAUUUUCUGGAGAUAUAUAGAAGUUGCUACGAUGUCACAUCACAAAGGUCGCUGUUUUCGAUACACGAAAUUGACAGCGACACAAAGAAUCCACCUCGCACUGGUUGUUGGCGUGUUACAGAUGAUGUUGUCAUCGCUCCAUCAUUCCAGGCCAAAACAUUUAUAAGCGAUUCAACGAAAUGUUUAAUAAUCAACAGACUUACAUCACGAGUCCUGGACGGCCGUAUAAAUUAAACCGCGGCCUUUUGACGCCCUCGGCUGACUUUGGUUUCUGCGAUCAAAUGAGAGCAACAUUCAGGUACAUCAAUGUGGUGGCUCAAUUCGCCGAUGUGAACGACAGCAAUUGGUCGAGAGUUGAGAACUGGGUGCGUCGCAUGCGAGAUCUUUAUGGAAAAAUGACUGUUUGCACGGGAGGAAUUGGAGUGCUGGAGCUCGAUGACGUCGCUGGAAAACCGAAAGAUAUUUAUCUGGUGAGGGGCAAUCGCAAUCCGGUACCCGAAUGGACUUACAAGAUUAUUCGAUCCCACUCAAAUCGAAAUGUGCAUUACGCUGUUAUCACCUAUAAUCAUGCCGAGAAUCCAGUUCAACCCGCUUCCUUAUGCACACCGUUGUCAUGUGUUAGUCUGGGCUUGCAAGUGAGUCAGUCCCGAAUUCUGGAUAUACAUACUGCUGCGAUGCAAAUGAUUUUAUUAUCAGAAAUGUGAAAAAUUUGCAGAAUGUUUGUUAAAGAAUUUUUCUGAAACUUAACUUGAAAUUAGUAAAAUAUAGUUGGUGUUGGUUGGUGGUGUAUAUUUAAAUUUCUACCUAUUAUAACAUUAUUAAAGCAAAUCAAAUAUUAACAAUGAUAUCGUCAAUUUUAUAAAAGAUGAUCAGAAAGUGUAAUACUGAGAUUGUAAAAAUAAGAUGGUAAGGUCUUCUUCAGGACUAAGUAUACUACAUCUAAAUCUGGAUCUACAAAUAAAUAACGUGAAAUUACCUGCGUAUGUCAGGUAUGUGAAA